UUCCUGGUGGCUUAGAGGCUAAAGCGUCUGCCUGCAACACGGGAGACCUGGGUUCAAUCCCUGGGUUGGAAA
rnacentral:tRNA from 1 species